GCCCAGCCCAAGCUUGGGCUCGGCUCGCUUCACAGAAGCUCGGGCUCGGUACCAAGCUCUAUAUUGGGCUCGAGCUCGGGAUUGAGCUCGUAAAGCUCAUUUCAAUUACGAGCUCAAGCCGGAGCCCGAGCUCGGGCUUGGGCUUGAUAACAAGCUAUAAUUUGUAUAUUUUUUGGAUUAAAAUAAUAAUAAUAAUAACCAUAAAAAAGGAAAAGAAAAAGAAUUUCACUGUUCAUCUUUUUCCUUUCCUUCCCGUAGGCUUCAUCUUCCAACCGCAGACCACCCUAUUUCUUCAUCUUCUUCUUCGUUUAAUCAUCCACCAUAAUUAUAAAAAAAAGGGAAAAUGUUCUCUAUUUUCAUCUCCUGCAGAGAUUCCUUCUUCCUGUUUUCAAAUCCUUUUGUUCACUUCCAGCAACGAGGCACAUUACGACCUUGCCAGUAAUAUCGUAAUUCACAGUGGUACAGGUGCUAUCACUAGGGUAGACUAGAGGAAGAGAGGAGGGUUUGAAGCCUUUGGGUUGAUUAAGAGAUUCACCAUAGAGCUGCUCUCCAUUACCAGGCAUCACAAUAGAUAUGAAGUUUCUGUCCG
rnacentral:lncRNA from 1 species